UACGAAGGGGGCUAGCGUUGCUCGGAAUCACUGGGCGUAAAGCGCACGUAGGCGGAUUGUUAAGUCAGGGGUGAAAUCCUGGAGCUCAACUCCAGAACUGCCUUUGAUACUGGCGAUCUCGAGUCCGGGAGAGGUGAGUGGAACUGCGAGUGUAGAGGUGAAAUUCGUAGAUAUUCGCAAGAACACCAGUGGCGAAGGCGGCUCACUGGCCCGGUACUGACGCUGAGGUGCGAAAGCGUUGGGAGCAAACAGG
rnacentral:rRNA from 1 species